GGAAACACUUAGCCAAGAAUCCGAAAGAAAUUAUAGCUUACGAUAAUUAACUCGGGAGUGACGUCUUUGGCUUUCGAUCGUGUCCCUAUAAAAGACUGUAAUUUAUGUGAUUUGUCACAUCAAGUGUAAGGUUUCCAACAUCCCAGGUGCAAAGUAAGCAAGAAAGGGGAAUUCACAACCUUUCAUCUCUGGUCUUCAUCUGAUAGAUUCCUGGAUUCAAAACAAAAAAGAUGGCUGUGGCACGGAUUAUAUUAAUCUUCCUGGUUAUAAUGGCAGUAACAAGUCCAGGUGCAACAACGACGACAACAGCUGCACCUACAACUGCAGCACCUACAACUGCUGCACCUACAACCGCAGCACCUACAACCGCUGCACCUACAACAGCUGCACCCACAACAGCUGCACCCACAACUGCUGCACCUACAACUGCUGCACCUACAACAGCUGCACCCACAACAGCUGCACCUACAACUGCUGCACCUACAACAGCUGCACCUACAACUGCAGCACCUACAACAGCUGCACCUACAACUGCUGCACCUACAACUGCAGCACCUACAACAGCUGCACCAACAACUGCUGCACCUACAACUGCAGCACCUACAACUGCUGCACCUACAACUGCAGCACCUACAACUGCUGCGCCUACAACUGCAGCGCCUACAACUGCUGCGCCUACAACAGCUGCACCUACAACUGCUGCACCUACAACAGCGGCACCCACAACAGCUGCACCCACAACAGCUGCACCUACAACUGCUGCACCUACAACUGCUGCGCCUACAACUGCUGCACCCACAACAGCUGCACCCACAACAGCUGCACCUACAACUGCAGCACCCACAACAGCUGCGCCUACAACAGCUGCACCUACAACUGCUGCACCUACAACAGCGGCACCCACAACAGCUGCACCCUGCAUAUAAAUCACGUCUAUAAUUUGCUGAAUUUAUAUUCUUUCACAAUGCAGACCAGCUACGGCGGCAACACGAACGUCUAAUACUGAAGCAGUGGUCGACAUUGUGUUCACUCCGGAUGCUGAAAUCCCACAGGCUGCUGACGUAGCACAGACCUUGAUAGACGCUGCGAAUAACAACAGUCUCUCCGACCUCGGUGUUGAUCCAGAGUCUGUCCGUGCAGUUUCACCUACAACAGCUGCACCUACAACUGCAGCACCCACAACAGCUGCACCUACAACUGCUGCACCUACCACUGCAGCACCUACAACAGCUGCACCUGUAACAACUGAGGCGGUCACAACAAGGCGACUGUCUUUCAGAUCUGCUGGAGAGACAUUUAUCACUGACUUGCUAAAUACAUCAUCUGCAGCGUUUCAAAGAAGAGCCUCAUUGAUAACGUCAAAUCUCGAGCCGUUCUACCAAAGAGCAUUUACUUCGUUCCGCUCCUUAACAGUGACUUCAUUCAGUAAUGGUUCAAUCAUCAACAACAUGGACAUUGGAUUUGCAUCAGCUUCUGUUCCUAAUGGCACUCAGAUUGGAAAUGUUUUGAUUCAAGCAGCUUCAAACAUCACAGUCUUCAAUGUUGACCUGAACUCCAUUUUCGUGGAUGGCUCACAGGUUUCAAGUGGAGUAAGCCACAAGAUCAGUCUCAUCACUGCAUCCUUCCUCGUACUGUCGUCAUGGAUACUGUCAAACCAGCAAUAGUAUCAUCGCUGACUCCUGUUAGAAAAGCCCUGAUUGUAUGACUGCCAUCACUGGCAUGACAAAUGACUUCUUGAUUAUUGAAUGAUAUUUUUGUUCUAAAUUUUACACUGUAUUUUUGGUGUUUAAAUUAAUGCAUGUCAAAUUCAUAUUCAGGUUUUACUUGAUAUUACAGCAUUACAUAACACUCCAUGACUGUAUCAGAGAAAAUAUUGUACAGGGAAGAUUUAAGGAAUACACUGCAGCUCACCAUGAGCUGAGUAUCCCAAUGAUGAACAAAUAUAUGGGCAUAGAUUUGUAUUAUGAUAUACAUAAUAUUAUAUAUGUGUAAAAGUAAAAAAUAUAAAAUCUUUCUUCUGACUUCUUUUUACUGUCUUUUUGUUCAUACAAACUGUAUUCAUGUAAUAUUCAUAGCUCUAUUCUGGGAGAUUUCUUGUUUGUUCAACUUUUGUCAGAAACUACAAUGAACCGUAAUAAAAAAUCUUAAAUAAUUAAA
ensembl:lncRNA